rnacentral:rRNA from 1 species
AAAACCGAAAGGUGAGGUAUAUGGGCUGACGCCUGCCCGGUGCUGGAAGGUUAAGAGGAGAUGUCAUUCCUUCGGGGAGAAGCAUUGAAUUGAAGCCCCAGUAAACGGCGGCCGUAACGAUAACGGUCCUAAGGUAGCGAAAUUCCUUGUCGGGUAAGUUCCGCCCCGCACGAAAGGCGUAACGAUUUGGGCACUGUCUCAACGAGAGACUCGGUGAAAUCAUAGUACCUGUGAAGAUGCAGGUUACCCGCGACAGGACGGAAAGACCCCGUGGAGCUUUACUGUAGCCUGAUAUUGAAAUUCGGCACAGCUUGUACAGGAUAGGUAGGAGCCUUUGAAAC